GCCAUAGCCAUCCAGCCUGGUCCUGAGACCUGAGCUGGAAUGUUGGCGUGAUGGUUGAAGCUGUAACAGCCAUCUUCGACUACAAAAUGGAAGCUGCAUGCUACAAAUGACAGAAGACAAGAUCAAAAGAACCUGUGUUCCCAGCACCACAGAACUGUCCCUAUGGAAAUAGACAUGACUGUUACAUAAGAAAGAAAUAUACCCUACUAUGUUUAAGCCUCUGUUAUUUUAGCAUGUGUUGUAGCAGUUGUAUACUAAGUAACUAAUGAGAAAGAAUAUUUUGUG
rnacentral:lncRNA from 1 species